GACGUAGGGGGCGAGCGUUGUCCGGAUUUAUUGGGCGUAAAGAGCGUGUAGGCGGCCAGGUAGGUCUGCUGUGAAAACUCGAGGCUCAACCUCGAGACGUCGGCGGAAACCAUCUGGCUAGAGUCCGGAAGAGGAGAGUGGAAUUCCUGGUGUAGCGGUGAAAUGCGCAGAUAUCGGGAGGAACACCAAUGGCGAAGGCAGCUCGCUGGGACGGUACUGACGCUGAGGUGCGAAAGCGUGGGGAGCAAACAGG
rnacentral:rRNA from 1 species